rnacentral:rRNA from 1 species
GAUGAACGCUAGCGGCAGGCCUAACACAUGCAAGUCGAGGGGCAGCACAGAAACAGCAAUGUUUUGGUGGCGACCGGCGGACGGGUGCGUAACGCGUAUGCAACCUACCUUUAACAGGGGGAUAACGGAGAGAAAUUUCCGCUAAUACCCCAUAACAUCGAUCAAGGCAUCUUGAUUGGUUGAAAACUCCGGUGGUUAAAGAUGGGCAUGCGUUGUAUUAGGUAGUUGGUUAGGUAAUGGCUCACCAAGCCUACGAUACAUAGGGGGACUGAGAGCGUAGCCCCCCACACUGGUACUGAGAGACGGACCAGACUCCUACGGGAGGCAGCAGUGAGGAAUAUUGGUCAAUGGGGGCAACCCUGAACCAGCCAUGCCGCGUGCAGGAAGACGGCUCUAUGAGUUGUAAACUGCUUUUAAACAGGGAUAAAGCACAGUAUGUAUACUGUGUUGAAGGUACUGUAAGAAUAAGGAUCGGCUAACUCCGUGCCAGCCGCCGCCGUAA